rnacentral:misc_RNA from 1 species
GUGAUAUCAAGUACGUCCUGUCCUGUGAGCCUAUUUUGUUGUGUUUUUGUUCAUUUUGAACAUCGUGUUGUUGUUUAUUAAAUGUGAUGUUGUUUGUUUCAGUGAUUAAUUCACCCUGGUAUUAAUGAGUGAUUUCCCUUUAUAAUAAAGGUUUCAGUUUUAAUUCUUUCAUUUCGUUCUCGGAAAUGACAACUCCGAGAUGGAAAAGAACUCUUUGAGCAAUCCUUCACAAAUAGUAGACCAAAGUUCCAAAAGUGAUUCCUACGAAGAACAACUUCGAAUUCUAUUUUUAUCUUGUAUUUGUGAUGAAGAAUCUACCACCUUAGACGGAAAUGCUAUUCGAUCUCUAUGUCAUAAACUUGAACUCUCAGAGUUUCAAAUUGACAAUAUCAUAGAGCGACUACCUUCUGAGCAGUCUAUUAACUUCGAUACUUUUCGUGAUGUUUUAGUGUCUUAUUUGGAAGAAAUACAAAAGUGUACUCAGUUAAAUGGUAUGAAUCAAGAUAAAUACAGCGAGGACAUGGAUAAAGAAGAAGCUUCGUUGAAUGAUGAUAAAGAGUUGAUUGAUUCCAAGGAAACCACACUAAUUGAUCGGGAUACUUCCUUUCGAAAUUCAAUAUCUUCUCUUGAUACAAAUCGUUUAAGCAAAACGAAUUACGAUUCUAGUGAAGAAGAAUAUCUUCGAUCGAUUUGGGCAAAAUUAGGAGUUGGGCAAGACGGAUUUCUUGAUCGAAAUGAACUAUCUAUUGUUUGCCAAUGUAUCGGAAUGGAAAAAUUGCCUGAUGAGGUUGUUGAUCAACUAUUCCUAAAAUUGGAUUUGGACAAUGAUGGUCGAGUGGCGUUUAAUGACCUUCUGUCUAUAUUUCAAAGUUCCAAGGCAUUUUGGAACUCUUCUCAUUCCCCUUCACCAACUACUAGACAAAUAACUUCAAAUGAAUCAACAACUCGUAUUGGUGAAGCAAAAUCAUCGACUCCAAGAAUACGUCGAUGUGCUUCACGUUCAUCCCCCAUUAAUGAAUCUCUUAAGAAACCUAAAGAAGUUCAAUACUUUUCAGCUAUUGGGAGUGAGACGGGAACAUGUAGCUAUGACGUACUUUUGGAGUAUUGGGAUACUAUAGGCAUAGUAAAUGGCCAAGCUAUUCUUAAGGAUCUUGGCUUGCUCACAAGUUAUUCAUCUACUCCUGGAUCCAACCACAGCUGUAAUCGUAUAGACUUAUACUAUUUAUCUGCAUUAUUAGAAAGUGAGAUGGAACAAUUCAAGGACGCAAUCACAUUUUCUACUGCAAAAGCAGCAAUCACAACUGUUCAACGAGAAGCAAGGUUCGUGAGAUCUGGUCUUGAUAAUGUCCGCUUUGAGAGGGACAAAUUAAGAGCAGAUCUUAAUGACGCUAAUCAUAGAGCUACUCUAUUGGCUCAAGAAAUUGAUGAUCAAAAUGCACGACUAGAGACCAAUAGCCGGCUUCAAAUGGAACAAUUAGAAAAUCGUUACAGUGGAGAAAUCAAAGAAAUUCAAAAUCUUCUUUCUAAAGAAAGAGAGCAAAAUCAAAACCUCGUUCGGGAGUUUGAACUCAAAGAUAAAUGUCUUCAUGAAAAGCUGUUGGAGCAAGAAGGCAAGCUUAAAGAGGAAAUAUCUUUGUUAUUAUCUGAAAACGAGCGUCUAGAACGGGAAAACCUCGCAUUGGGUGUCAAGUUAAAUGAGAGUGAUAACAUAGCAUCAUCUCUGCAGAAAGAAAUACAGUCUUUGACUGAAUUGAAAGAGAGAUUGUUGGAACUAGAGAAUCAAGUUUCUAAUUCCGAACAAAUUAAGCUAUUGUUGAGAGAAAUUGAGGAAUUAAAAUCACUUAACAAGGAUUUGAAGGAUCAGAACGAUGAACUUUAUUCUCAACUAGAGACGAGUAAAUUGGAAAGUUUUGAGCUUCGUGAUUAUUCAUCAAGUUCCACAUCUUCAACUGUAUCCGAAAGCAUUGGAGCAGAGAUUCUUGGUUGUCCUACAAAUUUAAAUCGUCAUCGACGCCGCAAGGGAUCCUCUUCUUUUGAAUCCAUUGAAGAUCAUUUUUUGAUCAAUCAAGAUCAGGAUUCUGGUGGCUCUUCAGAUGAGGGAUACAUUGUUUCUUCAUUAAAGAAAAGAGUUCGGGAUUUAGAAAAUAAAUGCAAAAGACAAAGUCAGAACUCAGAGAAUCAAUAUACGUCAAAAUUGGAAGAACUUAUUAAGAACUAUGAAAAUGAAUUAUCUUGUCUCAAAAAGAGUAACUUGAAGCUAAUGAAUGAUAAAUCCAAUUUAGAAGAAAUUCAGCUUCGAACCAAUUCUAUCAAUAUCACACUGACUAAAGAAAUGGAAAAAGUCGAGUCUGAAAUGUCUAACGUUCAAAAUCGUCUUCAUGUCGCCAUUGGUACUUUGGAUGUUUGUAAAGGCAAACAGUCCAACGACGAAGAACGAAUAAAUAUCCUUACGGCGAAAUGUUCUAAAUUAGAAGACAGACUGAGGGAAUCAUUAUCACUUCCCCCUUCAUCAAUAAGUGGUCCUCCGUCCUCUUCUGCCUCGUCGGAAAAUAUUCAAAUCAUAUCCAUUCGUAAUAACGUCCAAUCCGAUUCGGUAACAACGUCUCCGUCCCCUAGUAUUCGUGGCUCAGCCUCGCCAAAUGUCUCAAAGAUCUUUUUGAAUUCAGCUGAUUCGAGAUUGGAAGAUGACUUCUCCUCUGCUAAUUGCAGUCCAGUUUCGAAGCGUCCAUUAAGACGUUCAUCUGAUAUAAUAUGUUCCUCAUCAAAUUCUUCACCCUCAUUUUUUCGUCAGAUCCAAAAUCACUUUAAGAAUAACAGUGGAAAUAGCAAUUCAAGUCAAGUCAGUAGCAAUAAUAGUUCUACAAACAACACAAUUAAGCGCUCGAGGUCCACUACUGAGAAUGAACAGCGAUCCAAAGUUCAGGUCUUUCAAUUGGAACAACAUUGUAAGAACCUUGAGGGAGAAUUGGACCAUGUCAAAGAUGAAAUUCUCAAAAUAUUAUCUGCCAAGUCAUCAGCAAAUAAAGAAAAUGAAAGUCUUAAACGCUAUGCUCUUGCCUAUGAAUCAUUGGCACGAGAAAAUCAGACUUUAAAAAAGGAAGUUAACGAGCUUAAAAAAAUAACUAUGAACGGUCCAUCCAGUCCUCUUCCGUCUCAUCAAACAGUUCAUGAUCGAUCCUCACCAGAUGGCCAGGAGUAUUAUGACUCUCCCAAUUCACCUACUGUUUCCUCUUCCGAGAAUGAUAAUGGAACUAGACAAGGAGAACAACCACCUAACGACUUACUUAAAUUUUUAGAGGUACAAAAAACAGAGCUAGAAACUGAGAAAAAUGGGUUUCUCAAUAAAAUUUCUGAGUUGGAAGAGAGCUUAGAGCUCAUGAAAAACGAGUUUGAGAAUAUGGAAGACUAUUGGCAAGAGAAACUCGAUAAGGAAAGGAGUUUCUAUGAGAAUCAACUCUCUCUUUCAGAUUCCAAUUUUAAAGAAUUGGAAAUUAAAAUGAAAGAGUAUGAAGAGUUGAUGAUGACAACAGAUGGAAUUGCCAAUCAUGACUCUGAUAAAUUAUCCACCAUAGCGGAGAGUGUUAGUUUGGAAUGUCAGGUAACUGAGCUUGAAGAAGAAUUGAGUGAUAUUCGCUCUCGUCUGAGGGAGAUUGAAAGCCAAAAAAAUCAAGAGAUAACUGAUCUAAGUCAAGCGUGGAAGGAAAAAUUUCAAGCUGAGAACAAGAAUUUUGUCAAAGAAAAGGAAAUCUACGAAGAGAAGAUUCGACAAAUGGAAAAGACGCUUGAAGAUGUCAGUUCAAAUUUAACUAAAGCAACAUCUGAGCGGAUAAAUGAAAAAGAACGUUAUGAUAGAGAUAUUAAUGUUCUCCAAGAUUCAUGCAGUCAAAUGCAAGAGCAGAUUCGUCGCUCUAAAUCUGUUUCUCCGGUUCCUCCAGCAUCUAAACUUCGACUAUUAGAUAAUUCUUCUGAUAAAAACUCUCGUCAAAGCAGCUCACGCAAUUGCAUUAAUCAAAAUUGUUGCCAGCAUAAUUCUUCUACUCCUUCUCCUCCAGCAUGGCUUAUUCAACCUCCAGCAACUGGAAUUCCUCGAUACUGCAAUCAUUCAGGAAGUAUGAGCCUGGAUGCGUCAUUCAGAUUUUCUGAUCACACUAACUCAUCACAUAAUAAAUUAAAUGGACCGCAUCUCUCCGAUGAUGUUGUAGACUCUGUGGCUAGGGCAUAUCAGCAAUUCCCUCUUCAGUUUAAAACCGAUGCGAAUAUAUUCUCAACUCGUAUUUUCUAAUUCUACUCCUUGUGUGGGGAACUCAAAAAUGACAUAAAAAUGUUUUAAAAAAAUAUUCUAGACUUGAUUCCUCGUCAAGAAGUGAAAUAGUUCAAUUAAAAACUCAUAACAAUGGUACGGGACAUAUCAAAUGAAAAAAAUUCAAUUUCAAAAGAGUUAGAGAAUCUCAAAGUUCGGGCUUCAAAUAAGAAGGAUCCAGUCGCAGCCUCAGUUGCUAGGAUUUGGAAAUCACGUAUACAACAUCAGGAGCAAAGGUGUCAACAGCUUAGGUCCUCAUUGCUUCAACAGCAAGCGCAGUA